rnacentral:rRNA from 1 species
UGUAAAGUUCAAGCUCCGAUUGUGAGAGCGAAACCGCGAAUGGCUCAUUAAAUCAGUCAUAAUCUACUUGAUUGUUUGAAGGUUAAAUGGAUAACUGUGGUAAUUCUAGAGCUAAUACAUGCGCAAGGGGCGCGACUUUGUCGCAAGACGGAGAAGCGCCGCGUUUAUUAGACUAAGACCAGUGCAAACUGCGUGGUGACUCUGAGUAAAUAACGGCCUAACAGCCGUGCCGCCGAGUUGGUCCCCUGAGGACUAACCGUCUCAAUCGAGUGUCUGCUCUAUCAACUGUGGAUGGUAGGAUAAGCGCCUACCAUGGUGAUGACGGGUAACGGGGAGUUAGGGCUCGACUCCGGAGAACAAGCCUGAGAAACGGCUAGUAGGACUAAGGUCUGCAGCAGGCGCGAAACUUACACAAUGCUCGAACAUUAAAGAGCGAUGUAGUGAAGAAAAAUAACGAUGUGCUUGUUUUUAAACAAACUAGCACAAUUGGAAUGAGACGACUCUAAACCAGUUAGUCGAGUAACAAAUGGAGGGCAAGUCUGGUGCCAGCAGCCGCGGUAAUUCCAGCUCCAUUAGCAUACAUUAAAGUUGUUGCGGUUAAAAAGCUCGUAGUUGAAUGUAGGGUGGCUCUCUGGAUGGGUUGGCGUUAUGGGGCUUCGGCCCUAGCCAAUCACUUCCAGGUAGCCACUGUUUCGUCACUUAAUCGAGUGCGAAGCGGGGUCAGUCUAGCUUUCGGGCAAGAGUGACCAAGUUUACCUUGAGAAAAUUAGAGUGCUCACAGCAGGCAGUUGGGCCCUCGCGGGUCCUUUAUGCUUGAAUAAUGUUGCAUGGAAUAAUAGAAUACGGCCUCGGUUCUAUUCUGUUGGUCUUAUAGAACAACAAAAGGUUUCUAUCAGGCUGGUUGUGUUGUCUGAGAUUAAACCCCCAGUACCGCGCCAGCCCAGAAACCGGAGGCAAUGGUUAAAAGAAAUAGUCGCGGCGGCAUCAGUACUGCAUCGUGAGAGGUGAAAUUCUUAGACCGAUGCAAGACUAACUGAAGCGAAAGCGUUUGCCGAGGAUAUUUUCAUUAAUCAAGAACGAAAGUUAGAGGUUCGAAGGCGAUCAGAUACCGCCCUAGUUCUAACCAUAAACGUUGCCAACUAGCAAUUGGGAUGCGGUUUCAUUGUUGGCUCGGCCCCACAAGGGCCAGCCAACUCUACGACCCUCCCAGCGGCUCUCGUAGGGAAACCAAAGUGUUUGGGUUCCGGGGGAAGUAUGAUUGCAAAGUUGAAACUUAAAGGAAUUGACGGAAGGGCACCACCAGGAGUGGAGCCUGCGGCUUAAUUUGACUCAACACGGGGAAACUUACUAGAUUAGAACUCUGGAAUGAUUGACAGAUUGAUAGCUCUUUCUUGAUUCAGAGGAUGGUGGUGCAUGGCCGUUCUUGAUUCGUAUUCCGAAACGUCUGCUUAAUUGCGAUAACGAGUGAGACCUCACCCAACUAACUAGUGGCUCGGUGCGUGCUGGCGUCCAAGUGGAAGCUUGUGGGCCCUCACGGGUUCGCUUGCGACCAUGCCAACAACUCGCCGGCUGACUUCUUAGAGGGAUAAACGGUGUUUUAGCCGUAAGAAACGAGGCAAUAACAGGUCUGUGAUGCCCUUAGAUACUCUAGGCCGCACGCGUGCUACAAUGGCGUGUGCAGAGAGCUUGUUCGAGGUACGGGGUGGGAUAUUGUCUAGUUGGUUGGCUGAGUGGCGGGCAACUGUUGCUUUGUCGCUAGCUAGGCAAGCCCAUCAUUCGGACCGAGAGAAACCGGCGCAGAAAUGCGUCGGCAAUCAUAAAUACACGCCGUGAUUUGGGAUUGGGGAUUGCAAUUGUUGCCCAUGAACGAGGAAUUCCCAGUAAGCGCGAUUCAUCAUAUCGCGUUGAUUACGUCCCUGCCCUUUGUACACACCGCCCGUCGCUACUACCGAUUGGAAGUUUUAGUGAGGCAUUUGGACCUGUGCGGUAGCAAGUCGCAAGGCUAGCAACUGCGCGGGGAAGUCUGUCGAACUCAAAUUUCUAGAGGAAGUAAAAGUCGUAACAAGGUUUCCGU